AAGUAAGAAACAAAUAAUUGUAAUCAGUUUCGACCUGAUAUUAAGAUAUGCUUCUUAUAUCCUUAUUUA
rnacentral:tRNA from 1 species